GAUGAACGCUGGCGGCGUGCCUAAUACAUGCAAGUCGAGCGAAUGGAUUAAGAGCUUGCUCUUAUGAAGUUAGCGGCGGACGGGUGAGUAACACGUGGGUAACCUGCCCAUAAGACUGGGAUAACUCCGGGAAACCGGGGCUAAUACCGGAUAACAUUUUGAACCGCAUGGUUCGAAAUUGAAAGGCGGCUUCGGCUGUCGCUUAUGGAUGGACCCGCGUCGCAUUAGCUAGUUGGUGAGGUAACGGCUCACCAAGGCAACGAUGCGUAGCCGGCCUGAGAGGGCGAUCGGCCACACUGGGACUGAGACACGGCCCAGACUCCUACGGGAGGCAGCAGUAGGGAAUCUUCCGCAAUGGACGAAGGUCUGACGGAGCAACGCCGCGUGAGUGAUGAAGACUUUCGGGUCGUAAAACUCUGUUGUUAGGGAAGAACAAGUGCUAGUUGAAUAAGCUGGCACCUUGACGGUACCUAACCAGGAAGCCACGGCUAACUACGUGCCAGCCGCCGCGGUAA
rnacentral:rRNA from 1 species